AUUAGAAAGGCCUACUCGCUGAAGUGUUUUAGGGAACGUUUGACCGUGAUGAGGGGACUCAUUAUGCACAUAGGCAGUGAUCGCUGAGAUCCUGGUUGAAGACAGCAGAGGUGUAUUUAAAGGGCAAGUUUGUCAGGAUGAUAUCUAAGAGACUGCCCAUGGUUACGGAUUUAGGGUUGUUCCUGGUAGGUUCCUUGAUAAUAUUUGUGAGAUUGAGGGCAUCUAGCUUAGAUUGUAGGACGGCCAGGGUGUUAAGCAUGUCCCAGUGUAGGUCACCUAACAGUACGAACUCUGAAGAUAGAUGGGGGGCAAUCAAUUCACAUAUGGUGUCCAGGGCACAGCUGGGGGCUGAAGGGGGUCUAUAACAAGCGGCAACGGUGAGAGACUUGUUUCUGGAAAGGUGCAUUUUUAAAAGUAGAAGCUUGAAUUGUUUGGGCAGACUUGGAUAGUAUGACAGAACUCUGCAGGCUAUCUCUGCAGUAGAUUGCAACCCCGCCCCCUGUGGCAGUUCUAUCUUGUCGGAAAUUGUUAUAGUUAGAGAUGGAAAUUUCAGGAUUCAGACACGGCUAAGACAUCCGAGUUGGUGGAGUGUGCUAAAGCAGUGAAUAAAACAAAUUUAGAGAGGAGGCUUCUAAUGUUAACAUGCAUGACACCAAGGCUUUUACGGUUACAAAAGUCAACAAAUGAGAGCGCCUGGGGAAUGGGCGCCAGGGCCUGGGUUAACCUCUACAUUACCAGAGGAACAGAGGAGGAGUAGGAUAAGAGUUCGGAUAAAGGCUAUAAGAACUGGUCGUCUAGUGCGUUCGGAACAGAGUAAAAGGAGCAGAUUUCUGGGCAUGGAGGAAUAGAUUCAAGGCAUAAUGUACAGACAAGGGUAUGGUAGGAUGUGAGUACAGUGGAGGUAAACCUAGGCAUUGAGUGACGGUGAAAGAGGUUUUGUCUCUGGAGGCACCAUUUAAGCUAGGUGCGGUCACCACAUGUGUGUGGGGUGGAACAAAAGGGCUAUCAAAGGCAUAUUGAGCAGGGCUGGAGGCUCUACAGUGAAAAACACAAAAAUCACUAACCAAAACAGCAAUAGACAAGGCAUAUUGACGUUAGGGAGAGGCAUGUGUAGCAUAAUGGUCAUAGGGUCCAGUGAGUAGCUAGGCGAGCUGGGGACACGGUGAUUCAGACAGCUAGCAGGCCGGGGCUAGCAGGCUAGCAGAUGGGCCUCAGGGGGACGUCGCAACGGAAGAGCCUGUUGAAACCCCCUCGGGUGGUUACAUCGGCAGACCAGUCGUGAUGGAUCGGCGGGGCUCCGUGUCGGCAGCAAGGGGUCCAGGCCAAUUGGCAAAAGAGGUAUUGAAACCCAGGUAUUGUCUGAUGGAUCUCGUCGGCUACCCGGGAGAUGGGCCUAGCACGAGGUUAGCUCCAUGCUAACUGGUGCUUGCGUCGGGACAGAAACGUUAGCCAGGAGUAGCCACUCGGAUAGCAGCUAGCUAGCUGCGAUGAACUGGAGUAAAGGUUCAGCGCUUGCGGUAGGAAUCCAGAGAUGGGGUAUAGAAAAAGCAUUCCGAUAUGCUCUGGGUUGAAAUCAUGCUGUGCAGACUAGCAGGAAUUGAUCAGGCUGAGGCUGGCUGAUGUCCAAGUUAACGGUGAUGACCGCUAGCAGUAGCUAACUAACUGGCUAACUGAUGGGGGUUCCGGUUCUAAAGUAUAGAAAAAGCAGAUCCAAACCACAUUGGGUGAGGCGGGUUGCAGGAGAGUAUGUUCAGUCCGUACAUGGAAAUUGAGAUUAAAAAUAUAAAAAAAUAUGUAUGAAAUAUAUACAAAGAAAAUUAUAUAUACACGGGAUGGGACAAGACAAACAAAACAGACACCCGACUGCUACUCCAUCCUGGAACGAAAGUCAGGUAGGUCAUGGCACCACAACACUAUUCUUGCUCCAAAACCACCCACUCCCAAAACAGUCCUGCAGACAGAGAAGCUGAAAGCUACAAAUUCAAAUGUUUCUCAGACAUCUUUAGUGAUGUAUGGGAGCUGUAUGUACCAGAGCAAUUCAGACAAGUGACCGCGUUUUCACAGCUCUUUAUAUGUACAGUGAGGGAAUAAAGUAUUUGAUCCCCUGCUGAGUUUGUACAUUUGCCCACUGACAAAGAAAUGAUCAGUCUAUAAUUUUAAUGGUAGGUGUAUUUGAACAGUGAGAGACAAAAUAACAACAAAAAAUCCAGAAAAACGCAUGUCAAAAAUGUUAUAAAUUGAUUGCAUCCCUUCUUUUUGGUUUAGUUUGAAAUCCUCUUGUUGUGAAAUACACUGUCUUGUAUAACCACUUAUUCAGCAUGGUCACACCGGAUGCACUGCAAUAUUCGACAUUGACCGAGGUCCCCAGGAUGUCGGGAGAUGACUUGUGCAUGCCAUGCAAUUUCAAUAAAGACAAACAAAUGUAAGAAUCUAAUUUAGAUCAUUCUGAUAACCUUUGUAAAGUCUUGCUUUCUGCUCAGGAAGCUUUAUCGUCUGGGAUUCAGGCCAGUCCUAAUAGGAAACGCAACAAAGGGAAGCAGCUGGGCAGCUGAUGUUAUGGAGCCUUCUAAAGAUUCAGAGAUGCUAUGAGUAUAUGUUGAAGUUAUUAUCCAACUGUAUUCCAUUUGAAUAAAUACAUACAUGAAAAUGCUGAGCUACGGAUAUAACCGUGGUUCUCUGAGUAGAGUAACGGGUCACCAAACGACCUAUGGGAACUCCUUUCACGUGAUAUGAUUGAGAUAUUUCAGGGUAAUGAAUGGUAAAUAAUGUAUUGUUUCAUUUUGGAGCAAUUUUAUUGUAAAUAAGAAUAUAGUAUGUUUCUGAACACUUCUACAUUAAUGUGGAUGCUACCAUGAUUACGGAGGAUCAUGAAUGAAUCGUGAAUAAUGAUGAUUGAGAAAGUUACAGAGGAACAUACUCCCAAGACAUGCUAACCUCUCACCAUUACCAAUAAUCUGUCGUUAGCAGUUGACGUUACUCUCCAAUAACACAGACCCCAAGGCAAAUUAGGGGGAGAAAAAUAGUUUUAUUCAAAGAGGACAAAUCAUAGAUGUUAUGCUGAGAGGUAUUCAUUCUCCCCUGUCUUCAGUGAUUCCUCCACAAACAAAGGGACAGGAUGUAAUUUAUAACCCCCAACCCUAGCCUGUGGUUGAACAAUUAGAAUUCCUUGCAGUAACAGUGGGCCAAUGACUAAACACAGGGAUGCAAACUAGUCAGCUCUUGGCAUAAUUCGCUGUUUUGAAUCCAAAAUAGGUGACCUACGUGAAUCGUGUAGAUCCGAUGAGUGAAGCGCAUUUGGAGCAUUACUGUCUGUAUUCAAGGCUCUGCCAAUCGUUCACAUAACAACAGAAUGCAGCACGCGACUGAAGAUAUAACCAAUAGGCUCUAUUCUAUGCAUUAUACCGCCUCCAACUUUCUAAUUUACUUCCUACCGGGUUGAUGACUUACAGAGCGAUUUCUGCUAUUGUUUUAUCAUUAGCUUGUGUUGAUAAUGGGAUAUGAUAAAGGGUGAGUCGGUCAAGGAUCGAUGCAGACAAGGUGGUAGAUUGUACGACAAGCGACAGGUUUAUUCAGAGUGAAGAUAUCUGGUACGGCGUAUAUACGGGCCCCUCUGUUAGCUCAUCAGAGACUAGCAAAAAGGCACUUGCUAACAGUGGGUACAAGCUUCAUAUACAGAACAGAAAGUAGGUUGAUUUCUAGGAGAUCGGAUCUUCGGAUUGGAUCAGGCUGGGGUGUAGUCAUCCGGCAUUGGCUCUGUUGUCUGUCCGUCAUCGUAGAAUCCUGCCAUGCCUGUUCUUGGUCGUCACACCAUGUUCAGCUGAAAAGGAGAUCUGGUGUGUGCGCUAUCUUCAGUCACUAAGUCUAGGCUUUCUGCCAAUCUGUGGGUGUCUUAUCUGGGUGUCCUCGGCAGCUAUGUGUGUACUGUAUGUGCGUCGUCCCUGUCUUCUGGGGUCAGUGUGUAAAGUGUGUGCGUCCCUAUCUUCAGGGGAGUUGUGGCCGAACUGCCGGCUAGCACCUGUGGCUAGGAGUAUCCUGUUGUGACAGUGUUCUGGAUGAUUACAGUGAGUGUGUGUGUGAGAAAUAUCCUGUAUGGGGCCCGACCUGUUUUACUAUGAAAAUACGUUGUCUCAGCUAUAGUAGUGUAAUGUCACCUACAUAGGAAUUAAUAGUAAUGUAAUGUCACCUACAUAGGAAUUAGCAGUCCUCUACACUUGCUAUCUAACUGUAGUCGAUGCAUUUCUGACUGAAAUAGUUGACUACGUUUAAAUUACAGCCAUGCGAAUGGGGUGCUAAUAUGAGGUUUCUGUGUUAUGCACUAUAGCCCAUUACCAUAUAUAUGAUUGAAUAUUAUCUGCUGUUGGCUUGUGUGGAUGUAUGUAUGUGUUAUGCAACAUAGCUGACUUGAAACAUUGUUAAAAGUGUCAGUGAUGGAAAAAUACAGAAGACAGGGCACAUUCGUGGGGUUGCAGAACAAGCGGUCUUUUGUUAGAUAACAGGAGCCAGGUGCGAGAUAACGGUAUGGAGCAUGAGAGCCUGGAUGUUCUUCACAGCAACACUUACAUCUAUCAACAGAAGCGCCAAGAGGCGGGGACCCGCCUGAGCGCCUGCAAUAGGCUGAGCAAGUUUAAACCACGCCCAGCCUCUAGUAUAAAGAAUACUGUUUACAUACAUCUUGUCAGUUCUCUGUUUUGCCCUGCGAGGUGGGACAGAGAGCCCGUAUAUACGAAAAUUGCAUUUACCACUUAUUGCUUAGCUAAUAAAAAAUACAUAGUAUACAAUCGGUGACUCAUUGUCAUAUUUAUCCUGAUACCAGAUUUGAAUUUACGCAACUCUAACACUAAUGAACAUUGUUCAGUUUCUUCCAAAUGUAAUGGUAUUGUGAGUUUCCAUAGUUUCCCGGUCGAUGUAGAGCUCAGAGAGAAAAAGGUGGUUGGUGGCAGUAUGUCGUGACAACUUUACUGUCACCUAACACACAAAGGUGUGUACUACACAUUUCAUCGAGAGUGACUUUGUUGAGGGAGAAAUUGGGGGGCAACAAUACCUACAAAGUGGUGUUGUUCCUACAGUCUUCGCAUGGAACUGGCACAUUCAAAAGAGACCUGGUGUUUGGGAAAGAAGACUGAAACCUCUUGCUCCAACUGAGGAGGAUGAAUAACAAGGUGCGCUGCUGCCUAUGGACUGUGCCGUCUCUGAUCAGGUCCAGACACAUGAUUACUGUGCAGUCCCUGAACCUGCAGCCCUUGACACGCCCUAAUGGCAAACCAUGAGCAUGUAAGAGAAAUUGAGGAGCUUUGAGCCAAGCUGGAGAAACUGACCGCUCAACAUGGCUUUGGUUUACAGCGAUUUGCUGGUUCUGACGAGGAUAUACAUUUUUACACAAGAUUUGCAAUCUACACCCACCUGAUGGCCUUCUGGCACUUGACUGAGCGGCCAGCAGAAACCAGGUUUAAAAGUCACAAGCACCAAUCCAUCUGAAACAAGUGUUACUCGAAGAAAACCGACACUGCUAUCAAUCGACGAGUUCUUCUUGUUCAUGACUCAACCCUUCAGCAGAAGGAUUUGGCCCAUUGGUUCAGCAUUCACCAAUCGACAGUGAGACGGAUUAUCAUCUCUUGGGCCAACUUCCUCUGCUUGGAUCAGCACGGAUAUGGAUCCCCAAGGAAACCAUCAAAGCUCACCUGCCACCUAGGCUCAAGGACUAUCCAGACACCCAGGUAGUGAUCGACUGCACUGAACUCCACUGCCAGACACCAUCUUCACUACUACUGAAGAGUGAGAUGUUGGGAAUGUCACCACAUGGAGCUGUCACUUUUAUGUCAUCGUUGUGUGCUGGAUCUGUGAGUGACAAGGAGAUCUUCAAGCAGUCUGGAAUUAUUUCCUUACUCACCCCUGACAUGGCCAUUAUGGUGGAUAAGGGCUUUCUCGUAGAUGACAUUGUUCCGUGCAAGGUCUACCGGACAGCAUUUCUGUCAAGACGCACACAGAUGCCAGCGCAUGAGGUUAGGGAGUCCCAAUCCAUUGCCAGGCUGAGAGUACAUGUUGAAAGAAUGAUCUGCAGAGUAAAGGAGCACAAGCUGUUUGACACAGUCACCCCCCUGAUCAUCUCAGGCAGCAUCAACCAAUUAUUUGCCUGUUGGUGAACUAUCAAAACGGACCUUUGGUCAGAGCAUGGGCCAAGCCAGUGUAAAUGUACAUGUGUUUAUUUUCUAGCAGCAAAAUAAUAAUUUGUUAAUCUACAACAUGCAUCAGCAGCAAAAUAAUAAUUUGUUAAUCUACAACAUGCAUCAAUCAUUUGUGUUGUAGUGAAUAUCAGUUUGUGUGGAGCUUUUAUUGGCUUUAAUUAGGCAAUGGGUUUAGGGGUGGGGGAAAGAAAUCAAGUAAACACAGAAUAGCCAGAAUGCAAGACUGUAUACAAUGUUAGAGAUGUGUAAUUGAUUAACUGAACUGUUGAACAUUUGCUGAAAUACAUUAUUUUAAACAAAUAUAUUCUACUGCAGUUUUCUUCACAAGAACAUCAAUAGUUAUUUUUCAUGAAACCACUAAACUUGGCACCCAUGCAGGGGAUCCAUUCAGGUGUGAGACACUUCUACAAGUAGUGGUAAAAAUAAAAGUGGUUAACCUUCUCUCUUAUAUUUUUUGAAACAUGUAGAUCUUUAGAUAUCCUUUCAACUAGGAUGUCCUCCUGUGCACAGAUGACAGAUCACACCAGCUACAACCUGCGAGAAGAAUUUGACCUUGCACCUGCCAGUAGUAAGCAUGAAAUCUCUUCAACUUCAGCUCUCCAUUCUGUAUCCUCAGGUAAAGGCAGUCAACCUAACUUGGUACAUUUGGGCACUUGACCUCUAAGAGUCCAAAGUGUGGUCUCACAUUGGGAUCAAAUAUGAUGCCACCUGGAGAGGAUCCUAACCACGGAGCAUCUGGGUGCACUACGAAGCCACACGGAAAGAAGUUAACAUUCUUCAGUGUGCAAUACUACUGUAUAGCCACUGGCUCCAUGGCUAGCCCCCUCUUCAUCUCCACGGUCUGCACACCAGAUCCCUUGAACAUCCGCUCAACUCGGUGGUCAGCUGAGGUCUCUCCCCGGACAUGGCAAAUCUCUCGGAAACGAGAGGAUGUUAUUCUCAUUUUCCUGAGCUGAUGCCAUUCCGGGCUGCUGCUCUGCUCCCAUGUAGCAACCUCGACUUUGUGUGACAUCUCGUAGGUUGUCUCUAAUGCCUUAACGUGGAACUGCUCCUGAUGGCUAAGGACGUAAGCACACUGGGAAGCCUGAAGCCUGUUGCCAUCUAACAUAAGUAUUAGUGGAGAAGGGGCAUCGGCAAUCUUCACAAUUUCACAGGUCUUUGGCUGUGGAAGUUGAUAGGAAAGCACACUGCCAGCUUGCACUGGCCCAAAGGCGGACUCGACCAGGGGCACAUCAGCUGACAUUUCCAUUGUUUUCACAAGAGGGGCAGCAAGUGGAGAAAAGUUGGCAAACAUUUCUGAGAUGCGGAGAAGCUUCAUGUCAGGCAUACGUAUAUCCAUUGAGUGCUUUGUAGAAAACCUCUGCAAAACAUUUUAAAACCUUAACAUCAGGCUGGAGAGAUUACUAUGACAAAGGCUCAUGUAACUUUUCCAGAAACAGCACAAGCCCGAAAGUUGAAAUAAAAUGGAUUGAAAUAUACAGAUAGAUGAUAUAUUAUAGAUUAUAUUAUUAUUAUAGAUGAUAUAUUUCCCCCAUCUUUCUCCCCAACAUUUGUCAUUACAUCGCAAAGACACCACUGUUUAAGAUCCACAUCUUUUGAAGUACCCUGCUCUCUGCGCCUGACUCCUGCACUCACUACUUAUUGAAGCCGUGAAACAAACAAAUCAUAUGUAUUAAUAAUACAACAAGUUUUAAUUGCAUUUUUGUUUUUCAUUUUAGUUAACGUAGUGCCAUAUUGUUUAAAUUCAUUUAUAAAGUGAAAAAUGUUAGGUUUUUGAAUUAGACCAUUUGCAUUUGUGAAUAUGAAAUUUACCUAGUAUUAUUAGCAGUUUAAUUAAAUCUACUACAUUUUUAUCUAUGUCAGAAUUUGUGAAAUAAAUCAUUAUAUCAAAACCAUCAAAUAGUACAACUGGUCCUAUUUUCUCGUAACAAAAUUCUGUAUGUCAAUCCCAAAAAUUCUACUAAAAACAAAUGCAAAAUUGUCUCCUUCUCCAUUCCACAGAAAUCACAGUUAUAGUCAAUAUUUAGCUUGAAUCUUUCCAAAACAUGUUUCACAAGAUAAAUUCUAUGUAACAUUUUAAAUAUAACUUUGUUACUAAUACAAUAUUUGUUAGCAAUUUUCCAUGCUUUCCCCUAUUGUAUAUCACCAUAGAUAUUUGUCCAAAAGAAUCUUGCUGAGGGAAUUGUAGUAUCACAAACAAUAUUCCUAAUCAGUUUAUUACUACAUUUAUCUUUGAUGUUAAUAUUGCUAAUGAAUAUAUUUUCAUGUGAAUCUAUGUUACUUAAAUCAACCACAGAGGAAUUUAAAAGAGAUACAUGCCCCCUUGGAAUCGCAUCAAAAACAAUUGCAUAUUCUUUCGGGGUUAUUGGAAUUUUAAACUUAUCAAGAAAGAGUAGAUAUCCAUCCUCAUUCAGUAACUGACCAACCAAAAUAAUUUUAUUAUCAAACUAAUUACAACAGAAAAUAGACUUAUUUUUAGAUUGUAUAUCUUUGUUGUUCCAUAUAUAUUAUCUGUGAGGGGGAAAAUUGUGUUUAUAUGCUAACAUCCAAGCUAAAAUUGCCUGCUUAUGGAAUUUGGCCAAUUUUACUGGGAUUUUAUCAAAAUUACAUAGAAGCAAAAAUUCUAAACCACCAACAGAGUCAAAUAAAUACUUAGGGAAGACAUUCCAAAUACUGUUCUGGUUCUUAACAUACUUCAGAAUCCAAUUUAUUUUAAAAGUAUUAUUUAGAGUAUUGAAAUCUAAAACCUCAAGACCUCCUUGUCCUUGGGUAUUUGUGAGAAUAUAUUUUCGUAGAUAGUGAGUCUUGUUCCUCCAAAUAAAAUUAUAAAGAAGCUUAUCUAAGUCCUUUACAAUUUUAGGGGGUAAGUUAAGUGAUAACGAGACAUAAACUGAUCUGGAUAACCCUUCAGCUUUGGACAAUAAAACCCGACCGUAUAACGAAAUAUCUCUCAUCAACCAGAGGUUCUUCUUCUUUGUUUUCUCAAUAAUGGGGUUAAAGUUCAAUUCACUCCUUUGUAUUUCAUCCUUGCAUAUAACAAUUCCAAGAUAAGUAACCUUAUCUUUAAUUGGGAUAACAUAUACUUCCUGUAAAACACAAUCCUUGAAUGGAAAUAAGACUGACUUAUCGAUAUUAAUUUUCAUACCUGAAACUAAGGAAAAUGCUUCAAUACAGGAAACUGCUUUAGAAACCUCAUUCCUGUCUCUUAAAAUAUGGUGAUCAUCUGCCAGUUUAGAUAGUUUAAAUUCAUUGCCAAGUUCUGAAACACCUUGAAAAUUCCCUUGCUUGAUAUGAAGAGCCAUAGUUUGAGUGACCAAUAAAAAAUUACUAAUUGGGCAGCCCUGCCUAAUGCCACAGCCAAUAUCAAAUCUUUGGGAUGUCCCGUGAGCUAAUUUUACAGAGCUAGAACAACCUCUAUAUACAGUUUAGAAUGCUUUCAAAAAAUGUCACCAAACCCCCCAAAACGUAUUGCUUUGAACAUAAACUCAUGUUCUACAGUGUCAAAAGCUUUAUAAAAUCAACAAAUAUAAGAAAUCUAUCAUCAAGAAUGAGGUCAUUUUAGUCAAUCAUAUCUAAGACCAACCUGAUGUUAUUACUAAUGUGUCGACCAUGCAUAAAACCAGAUUGUUCUUCAUGAAUUAUAUGAUGCAAGCUUUGUUUCAACCUCUUAGCAAAUACAAGGGCAAAUUAUUUCCUAUCAUUAUUCAACAGGCCAAUGGGUCUCCAGUUGUAUCCUUAUUGGGUUUGGAAAUCAAAUCAAAUGUAUUUAUAUAGCCCUUCGUACAUCAGCUGAUAUCUCAAAGUGCUGUACAGAAACCCAGCCUAAAACCCUAAACAGCAAGCAAUGCAGGUGUAGAAGCACAGCUUGUUUUGUGUUGGGGUUUGUGGGUGAUUGUUUCCUGUCUUUGUGUCUAUGCACCAGAUAGGACUGUUUUCGGGUUUCACAUUUGUUGUUUUGUAAUUCAAGAAUCAAAGUAAUUACACCUUGCUUUAAGGAACCCGAUAACUCCCCUUUUUAUAUUGAUUCUUGAAACAUAGCAAGAAUGAAAGGAAUCAAUUUAUCAUUGAAUGCUUCAUAAAACUCGCUUAUUAAACCAUAAUUUCCAGGGGACUGUCACGUUCUGACCAUAGUUCUUGUGUGUUUUCCUUGUUUUAGUGUUGGUCAGGACGUGAGCUGGGUGGGCAUUCUAUGUUGUGUCUAGUUUGUUUAUUUCUGUGUUUUGCCUGAUAUGGUUCUCAAUCAGAGGCAGGUGUAAGUCAUUGUCUCUGAUUGGGAACCAUAUUUAGGUAGCUUGUUUUGUGUUGGGGUUUGUGGGUGAUUGUUUCCUGUCUUUGUGUCUAUGCACCAGAUAGGACUGUUUUCGGGUUUCACAUUUGUUGUUUUGUAAUUUGGAGUGUUCAGUUGGGAUUUAUUAUUAAAGAAGAUGAACACUCA